AGGUACAUAUUUUGGUAACAAAAUUACCGUUUUUAUUAAUCUUUUUUGUUCUACAAAACGAUUAUUUUUGGCUUUCAUUUAUUCUUUUCUUUUUACAGAUACACUUCAGAGUAUAUAUUUUUCCGGCUUUCUCCAAACGAAAUUUUCCUUUAGUAGUUCAACCUACAAAAACAGAGUAAUUCCUUACUAAUCGAAAACCUUAAAUGUUCUUGCAGUGGAUAGGCUUUAGAAUACUAAGGAACAUGUCUAAGCCAUGAUGCAACACCAUUACUGUUGUGAAGAGGUUUUUCGAAACGUAUUGUGCCUCCUGUACUAAUAUGAAACUAUGGAAUACUUUGGUGAAUUGGGUUGCCUAAGUCAAGGACGAGCUGUCGCCAACGUUUUAAACGUUUCGUGUAUUUGAAAACAAAUUACUAUGAUAGCAAUGUUACAGUGCGAGUCGAAACUUUUAACCAACUACAUUUUUGGAUAUUAAUAAAAUAAUUUUAUUUUAUUUAGUACAUAAGCGUAUAUGAAAAUAAUUAUGAUUUUAUGACACUUAACACUGUAAAUGUAAAUGUAAAUGAUUUUUUUUACUUUGUUUUGUAUAUUUCUCUAGUAUCGGUAUUUUUACCUUCUGUCCUGUACAUUACAAUUUUUUAUGCGACUUCUGAUAGAGAAAGAUGCUUACAGUUAAAAAUGCGGACAAAAAAACGUUAGCUUUAUUGGGAAAAUUGUGAUGAAAGCAUAAAACUAUAAUAAAGUAAUAAUAUUCAAGGAGAUAGAUACUUCUUAAUCAAAAAUAGAGAAUGAUUAAGAAGAAAAACAAUGUUUCUAUUUUUUUAGUUUGCGUAAAGUGUCAAUCAUAAAAACAAAGCAAUGAAUUUUUUAUUUUCUGUCCAAAGAUUGAGAAAUUUGUAACAGUUAUUUUUGUCGUAGACAUCUUAAUUUGGCAAAUUAUUUCAGCAAAAAGCAUUGAAUUUUUAAAAAAUCCGUCUUCAAAUUUCAUUCCAAUUAUAAGAAAUGAAGUUUAAGUUAUAAAACCUAAUAUCUAAUAGUGGAUAAAAAU